rnacentral:lncRNA from 1 species
GAAAAUUAUGUCGAGCAAACCCAGCAAACACCAAAUAUAAAUGCAAUAUAACGUGGGAGUAACAUGUAAUGUAACAGAUGUUACACUCUAUUUAUAUUAUAGUUACGAAACUUUACUACAUAUAUGUGAUGUAACAAAGUUAUGAAGCUAUAAUAUUACUCCGUUAUUUGUAUGUUACAAUAACCGAACAGUGAUGUAACCACAAUGUUGCGUGGUUACACAACAACUGUUUUAUUUAUGUUAUAUGGAUAUUAUAAAAUUUGAAUCUUGUGAGACUCUAACCUCAAUCGCACAAUGUACAUCUCGUGCUAUUAGGCGCGCUUUCCGCUAGUGGAUGCUAUAAUGACGAAAGAGAGACGUUGUUUUCUUGCAACUUGACUUUAAUCAGGAUUCUGCCAAUUAUUCUUACAUCAUUCGGACAACUGUUCUUCUUAAAAUUUAAAAGAACGUAAAGAAUAACUGAAAUUUAUAAAAGCUGAAGAAAUUUUCACAAGGAUUAGAACAGCCUGCGACCACAUCAUUGGCAGAAAACUGAACUUAAAUGGAAGCGCUUGCACUCUCAUGUCACUAUCAUGUCCUGACAAUUUCGGAUUUUAUAAAACUAUAGGAGAUGUUGUGAUUGACGUUGAAAUUGUGAUUGACAUCUGGAGCAGAGCUAUAAUUUUGUUUAACAUUACGUGAAGUUUAUUUAAUGUUUUUCUCUUAUUUUCCCUCGUUUUUUGUUUUUAAAAGUUAUUUUUAAAAUAUUUUACUAAUAAUCAUAAAGUAUAAUAUGUAUAUAUUU